CUAAGCGUACACGGUGGAUGCCCUGGCAGUCAGAGGCGAUGAAGGACGUGCUAAUCUGCGAUAAGCGCCGGUAAGGUGAUAUGAACCGUUAUAACCGGCGAUUUCCGAAUGGGGAAACCCAGUGUGACUCGUCACACUAUCAUUAACUGAAUCCAUAGGUUAAUGAGGCGAACCGGGGGAAAUGAAACAUCUAAGUACCCCGAGGAAAAGAAAUCAACCGAGAUUCCCCCA
rnacentral:rRNA from 1 species